UGAGGAAUAUUGGUCAAUGGGCGAGAGCCUGAACCAGCCAAGUAGCGUGCAGGACGACGGCCCUAUGGGUUGUAAACUGCUUUUAUGUGGGGAUAAAGUGCGUGACGUGUCAUGCAUUGCAGGUACCACAUGAAUAAGGACCGGCUAAUUCCGUGCCAGCAGCCGCGGUAAUACGGAAGGUCCGGGCGUUAUCCGGAUUUAUUGGGUUUAAAGGGAGCGUAGGCUGUCUAUUAAGCGUGUUGUGAAAUAUACCGGCUCAACCGGUGGCUUGCAGCGCGAACUGGUCGACUUGAGUAUGCAGGAAGUAGGCGGAAUUCAUGGUGUAGCGGUGAAAUGCUUAGAUAUCAUGACGAACGCCGAUUGCGCAGGCAGCUUACUGUAGCAUAACUGACGCUGAUGCUCGAAAGUGCGGGUAUCAAACAGG
rnacentral:rRNA from 1 species